AUACAGAGGGGGCGAGCGUUGUUCGGAAUUACUGGGCGUAAAGGGCGCGUAGGCGGCCUCUUAAGUCGAACGUGAAAUCCCCGGGCUCAACCCGGGAACUGCGUCCGAUACUGGGAGGCUUGAAUCCGGGCGAGGGAUGUGGAAUUCCAGGUGUAGCGGUGAAAUGCGUAGAUAUCUGGAGGAACACCGGUGGCGAAGGCGGCAUCCUGGACCGGUAUUGACGCUGAGGCGCGAAAGCCAGGGGAGCAAACGGGAUUAGAUACCCUGGUAGUCCACGCCGUAAACGAUGAAUGCUAGCCGUUGGCGAGCUUGCUCGUCAGUGGCGCAGCUAGCGCUUUAAGCAUUCCGCCUGGGGAGUACGGUCGCAAGAUUAAAACUCAAAUGAAUUGACGGGG
rnacentral:rRNA from 1 species